CGGGGCGUAGCGCAGCCUGGUAGCGCACCUGCCUUGGGCGCAGGAGGUCAGAGGUUCGAAUCCUCUCGCCCCGACCA
rnacentral:tRNA from 1 species